rnacentral:tRNA from 1 species
GGUUAUGGCUAAGUGGUAGAGCAUUCACCUAGCACGUGUGAGGCCCUGGGUUUGAUCCUCAGCACCA